UACAGAGGGUGCGAACGUUGCUCGGAAUUACUGGGCGUAAAGCGCGUGUAGGCGGGACCGUAAGUCAGAUGUGAAAUCCCCGAGCUCAACUCGGGAACUGCAUCUGAAACUGCGGACCUUGAGUACUGGAGAGGGCGGCGGAAUUCCUGGUGUAGAGGUGAAAUUCGUAGAUAUCAGGAGGAACACCGGUGGCGAAGGCGGCCGCCUGGACAGUCACUGACGCUGAGACGCGAAAGCGUGGGGAGCAAACAGGAUUAGAUACCCUGGUAGUCCACGCCGUAAACGAUGGGUGCUAGGUGUCUCGGGUAUUGACCCCUGAGGUGCCGUAGCUAACGCGUUAAGCACCCCGCCUGGGAAGUACGGUCGCAAGACUAAA
rnacentral:rRNA from 1 species